rnacentral:rRNA from 1 species
UACGGAGGGGGCUAGCGUUGUUCGGAAUUACUGGGCGUAAAGGGCGCGUAGGCGGUAUGCCAAGUCAGGGGUGAAAGGCCUGGGCUCAACCCAGGAACUGCCUUUGAAACUGGCAAACUAGAGUCCGAAAGAGGAUGGCGGAAUUCCCAGUGUAGAGGUGAAAUUCGUAGAUAUUGGGAAGAACACCAGUGGCGAAGGCGGCCAUCUGGAUCGGAACUGACGCUGAGGCGCGAAAGCGUGGGGAGCAAACAGG